UCCGGUUGAUCCUGCCGGAGGCUACCGCUAUUGGAGUUCGAUUAAGCCAUGCGAGUCGCGAGUCUUAGGGACUCGGCGUACCGCUCAGUAACACGUGGGUAACCUGCCCUAUGCUGGGGGAUAACCUCGGGAAACUGAGAAUAAUACCCCAUAGUUCACCACGCCUGGAACGGUGGGUGGACCAAAGCUCCGGCGGCAUAGGAUGGGCCUGCGGCGUAUCAGGUUGUAGGGGGUGUAAUGUACCCUCUAGCCCUCUACGCGUACGGGUGUUGAGAGACAUCGCCCGGAGAUGGAUUCUGAGACACGAAUCCAGACCCUACGGGGUGCAGCAGGCGCGAAAACUUGGCAAUGCGAGAAAUCGUGACCAGGGAACUCCAAGUGCAUCGGGUAAGACCGAUGCUUUUCUUGACUCUUCAAAGGUCUUGGAAUAAGGGGUGGGUAAGGACGGUGCCAGCCGCCGCGGUAAUACCGGCGCCCCAAGUGGUAGUCGCUUUUAUUGGGCCUAAAACGUCCGUAGCCGGUCUGGUACAUUCGUGGGUAAAUCAACCAGCUCAACUGGUUGAAUUCUGCGAGCACGGCCAGACUUGGGACCGGGAGAGGUGUGGGGUACUCUCAGGGUAGGGGUAAAAUCCUGUCAUCCUGAGAGGACCACCUGUUGCGAAGGCGCCACACUAGAACGGAUCCGACGGUCAGGGACGAAGCCUAGGGGCACGAACCGGAUUAGAUACCCGGGUAGUCCUAGGUGUAAACGCUGUGGACUUGAUGUUGGGGGCGCUCCGAGCGCACUCAGUGUCGAAGCGAAGGUGAUAAGUCCACUGCCUGGGGAGUACGGUCGCGAGGCUGAAACUUAAAGGAAUUGGCGGGGGAGCACCGCAACCUGAGGAUUGUGCGGUUUAAUUGGAUUCAACGCCGGA
rnacentral:rRNA from 1 species